GAUGAACGCUAGCUACAGGCUUAACACAUGCAAGUCGAGGGGCAGCAUGAACAAAGCUUGCUUUGUUUGAUGGCGACCGGCGCACGGGUGCGUAACACGUAUCCAAUCUGCCCGCGGCUCGGGGAUAGCCCAUCGAAAGAUGGAUUAAUACCCGAUGGCGUGGUCACUCCGCAUGGAGUUUCCACUAAAGGUUUUCCGGCCGCGGAUGAGGAUGCGUAUGAUUAGGUAGUAGGCGGGUAACGGCCCACCUAGCCUUCGAUCAUUAGGGGUUCUGAGAGGAAGGUCCCCCCANACUGGAACUGAGACACGGUCC
rnacentral:rRNA from 1 species